ensembl:lncRNA
AUGCUGUUCUCUUUCUCUAUAAGCAUGAGAUUUGGCACCUCAGUUUUCAUUCCAAUCCCAGAGAAAGGCAAUGCCAAAGAAUGCUCAAACUACCGUACAGUUGCACUCAUCUCACACGCUAGUAAAGUAAUGCUCAAAAUUCUCCAAGCCAGGCUUCAGCAAUACAUGAACCGUGAACUUCCAGAUAUUCAAGCUGGUUUUAGAAAAGGCAGAGAAACCAGAGAUCAAAUUGCCAACAUCUGCUGGAUCAUCGAAAAAGCAAGAGUUCCAGAAAAACAUCUAUUUCUGUUUUAUUGACUAUGCCAAAGCCUUUGACUGUGUGGAUCACAACAAACUGGAAAAUUCUGAAAGAGAUGGGAAUACCAGACCACCUGACCUGCCUCUUGAGAAAUCUGUAUGCAAGUCAGAAAACAACAGUUAGAACUGGGCAUGGAACAACAGACUGGUUCCAAAUUAGGGAAGGAGUACGUCAAGGCUGUAUAUUAUCACCCUGACUAUUUAACUUAUAUGCAGAAUAAAUCAUGAGAAAUGCUGGGCUGGAUGAAGCA